UACAGAGGGUGCGAGCGUUAAUCGGAAUUACUGGGCGUAAAGGGCGCGUAGGCGGUUAUUUAAGUUAGAUGUGAAAUCCCUGGGCUUAACCUAGGAAUUGCAUCUGAUACUGGAUGGCUGGAGUGCGGUAGAGGGUAGUGGAAUUUCCGGUGUAGCGGUGAAAUGCGUAGAUAUCGGAAGGAACACCAGUGGCGAAGGCGGCUACCUGGACUGACACUGACGCUGAGGCGCGAGAGCGUGGGGAGCAAACAGG
rnacentral:rRNA from 1 species